GCAUGGAAGAGCAUCCUGGGGAUCUAUCCUCUCUUAUGCCCAUGGUAUCCAUCUUUGUUGACUAUAGUCUUAAUCACAUCCGCAGUUGAGCUACUAGAAAAUCAAUGAAAACCACAAACCCCAGUAUCAAAAUAAUAAAAAUGAUAAUAACCAUCACCAAUCAACAAUAUUGCAAAAAUAAUACUUGCUUUUUUUCUGAUAAUACUUACUAAUUAGACUUAAUUGAUGUUUCACAAUUUUUUAUUGUCAUUAAUAAUUUUAAGCUUAACGUAAUAAUAAUAGUGUCAAAUUUGAUUCAGAUCGAGG
rnacentral:misc_RNA from 1 species